UUAUGCCCUUGAGAGACUAAAUCUUUGUAAUUUCUACUUCCAUUUUAGAGAUUAAAAUCUUUGAGUUUUCUACUCCUUUAUUGAAAUUAAAAUCUUUAUGCCUUUCUAACCAUUGUAAUGUCGUAAAUGGGGCACAAGCUAGUGAUAAUAGCAAUUCAUUAUAAAGACUAACCUGUUAUCAGAUGAGAAAAAAAAAAAGGCUUGACAUUACAAAUAGAGAAGAGUGUCGUUGGGCACCUUAUUACAAAGCCAUUUACAAGCGACUAUGUCGAGAUCAAUGUACAGAAGACGAGGUGCGACCGCAGAACCGGAAGAAAGCGCAAGUGCGACUCGUUUGCCGCAGGAGCUGCAUCGCAGAAGCGAGCCAUCUUUCUGCAAAUGCGGAUUUAGGCCAGCCAAGGGAGGACCGCAUUCGCGAUGAGAUUUCCGCAGAUGCGGAGCCAUAGGCGGCCAAACCUCCACAGGUGCGAAAAUCGCAGAAGGCAGAAUCCCAUUUAAUUCGGGACUUAGUCAUUUUUGGCUCAUUUAUUCCAUUGUUGGGCGAUUCUUGGAGCUCUUAGAGAGGGGAUUUCAUCUAACACUUUGAGGAUCUGAGGUAGGUGUAUCUGGAUAUCAGUCCGGCGCACAUACUUGAUUACCACUUUGAGACUUCACUGUGAGCUGCCUUCCGAGCCGUUCUGCAGCAGCCGAAGUCUUCCUUUUGCCUAUUUCCUGUCUAUUUUUGUUUCGGAUAGUAGAGUAGCAUUCUUGUUGUAUAUUCUACUGGUUGUUUAUAAACUUAUGACACCAGGUCUUGGCACACACACUCGUAGACUUGUGAUUUUAUUUUAUUUUUAUGGUUAUGAUUGCACUAAGUUGCUUUC